CAUGCUCCUCCUCCCCCACCCCCCACCCUGAUCCGCUGGCCUUAAAGGUAUUUGCUUCCAGGCUGUGCUGGGGUGGGGAGGGAGGUCUGUGGGAUCUGACUUGAGCCAGAGGCAAGAACUGGGAUGGAAAGUUAGGGAAUCCUGGCUGAGGUGGCAUGCAGGGAGGCUGCCCCUAGUGGGGAUGGCGGAAUUGCCAGCUAAUGCCAAGGCCUCUUCCUGUCCCUGCUCUUGCCCACAGGGGCUAUUGUGGCCUCAUGUUGUAACUGGGACUCGUGUGGCUCAGAGAGUUCGGGAACCCAGCCAAGGUCAUGUCUCCUAAUGGCAGUGCUGAGACUGGAGCCCGAGGACUGAAGGCCAUCACCAGCAGCCACGUGGUGGCAGGCUGGGCUGGGCUGGGGAGGGGAGGGGUCCUCACUGUGGUGGGAAGGCUGGGAGGCCUGAUGCAGGGCCGUCUGUUGUGAGCUGGGUGGUCCCUAGUUCAUGAGAGCCUUCCUCUGCUAGCACUGUGGAGAGUGGGGGAAGAGGUUAGCUCCAGUCCUGCCCAGCACGGGAGAGAGAAAAUCGGUUGUGGCUGGUAUGACGGCCCAGACUAGCCGAGCAGGUGUGCCAGCCCAUGGGCUGGUGGAAGUGUGAGUGUGACCGAGCAACAGAGGGAUGGUUCUGGUCUAAUGCUCUUGGCAGAAGCGGCCUUGUGGGAGGAGGAAGGAUCCCAAACCGGCCCUGCCCUUUCCCUCUCUUCCUUCAAGCUCUUCCAGGGGAACACUAGAUCCUCAGCACGAGAACAACUCGGGCCCAGGGAAGGCCAGGCCUCGGGGACAAGGGUGCUCUGUCCGAUCAGCCUUGGCGGUGGGCAGUCGGCUCAGACCUGAACUUGUGGACACUGACCUGGCCUGUUCUUGGCUGAAAAGGUUUCCCACGCAGGCAUCGCCUCUUGGACUCUGGCCUUCUAACCCAUGCUCAAGGAAAAGCAACUCCAGACUGAGGAAUGUGGAUCUAGAAAAUGGGGAUUUGUGGAAGGUUUGCAGUCAGGAGGGUGACCUGUGCCACGUCCAGCCUCUGAAGGUCUGUGACUCCCCACCACCCUGGCUCUCCUUCUGUCCCCAGUCAGGAUCCUGCUCUGCGGUGUCCUUCAACUGCCCCCUCCUCCCUCUGCCCCACCUCUUCUAAGGAAGGAUUGGAAAAAUCCUUAGAGAUUUUUCAACCAAGUAAACUGUGCAUUUUCAGGACUUAAUUCUGGACCCUGUCUUCUCUCGACACUCUGCAUAGGUGAGCUCACCUUUGCUCAUUUUUUCAGUGCCUCCACAUACUAGUGUCCCUUAAAUUCAUGUCCAGUCCAGAACUUUGGUCUCAAUUAUCCACCGGCCUAUUUGAUAUCUUCAUUUGUGUGCCUCACGAACAUCCCCAACUCAGGACCCCUUGUUGUAAUCUUCCUUCAGUAAAUCCUAAUGACUUUAUCUCCAAAAUAUACGUCAGAUGUAUUCACUUCUUCCCCGUCUCUUCAGCUCCCACUCUUGCUUGAGCUGAUAGCAUCUCUCCCACCGAACUUGUCCUGGCCGUUUCCGGCCAUUGCCUUUUAAUGUGACCCUCAACUCAUUCUCUGUAGAACAACCCAAGUAAUCUGGUUAAACUGCAGAUUAAAUCAUUUUAGUCUCAUGCGUACAUCUCUUAAUGACUACUUAUUGUAUGCAGAAUGAAAUCUAAUAAUGUGCUAUAAUUGGCCCCUAUCUACCUGUGUUAGCCAUUAGUGCUGUUCAUCCAUGCUUUCCAUUUCUUCUCUCCUUCCAGGCACCUGGGAUGACUGCAUACCCUUGAAGUGAAGAUAGGACUAUGACACUUGCUUUGGACAACGAAACGUAUGGCCUGGACCCUCUGCACUGCUACCUAUCAAGUCUGGACCUGUUAACAAAGAUUCGGGGAAGAAUAGCGACCCUAAUUUCAUAGACUUUCUGUCUGGACUUACCCACAACCAUCCGGAUAUAAAUGUUGCCCUGUCCUGUUACCCACGCUAUGAGCCUCUGCUUAGACGGUGUUGUCCGAGUCCCACGCCUCUGCUCUGCUGUUCGCAGACUACACUGCAGGUCCCUCUAUAGCGUGUGAAUUUAUGCACAGAUCUAGAUGUGUGCACUGAACACCAAGGAAAUUCACCGAAAGUUCUACGGUUCUCUGCUUCUGUUUUUACCAAAGAUUUCAACUACGUCUAUGGCUUUUGGACAAUGACUUUCGGAUCCCAGCAGGUUUUACUGAUGACACCUGGGCUUAAUAGAAAUCACGUGAACUGGUCAGGAUCCUGUGCUCUCUGCUGCCCACUGUAGAUGAGGUCCCCAUCGAGAUACAGAAGGAGAACACGGCCCGGGUGCCCCGGAGGCCCAACCCCAAGAUAAUGGCUGGUUGGGGAAGAAGGAGUCAUACGA